rnacentral:lncRNA from 1 species
GGUGCGUAGGGCAGCUCAGCACGCGAACCUCUCCAGCAGGCGCCCCGGCGCGAGCCGAGAGCAGAUCCCCGGGCGCGCAAGGCGCCGCCUCCCAGCCGCAGAGCGACGAUGAGCGGAGGCGAGGGGGUCGUGGAGAGCAGUGAUGAUCACAGUGCCUCUUCAGAAGAAAAAGAUUGCCCCAGCCCCAACCUAGAUACUUCAAAGGAUUCUAAAUCAGACGGGGACAGCAGUUCUGAGAGCAAUUCUGAGAGCGAAUCUGAUAAUGAGGAGCCAAAACCAGAAACAACAAAGAGCAGGAUAACCUUUGAGAUUUUUAAGUUGCAAGUUGCUUGUUCAUGAUCUUUUGUUUGUGUAAAAUUGAAUUAAACACUGGGAAACAAAUGAGCAUUUUGAAAAUUUGAGCUCACUACUCUUGGAAUACAAGGGAUAUGUUCUCAGUCUGCAUUGAUGCCAAGUCUGUGCAUGUACCAUUCUGCCCUUAUGGUUCCUGAAGGAGAAGAGAUUGAGGGACUGACAGCAGUGUCGUUGCCGCAGUGACCAAGGCUUCCUGCCCUGUUGGUCGCGGCUCAUAGUUUAUCGCAGAAGUAAGCUGCCUGCUGCUGAAAAUGUACCAUUUGCGGUUUACAGUUUCUGGCUCACUGUUCUGGCUGUUUAUGAACAACUUGAGUAUGAAACCACUGUAAAGACAUAGAUUGUAAAUAUAAAAUUUGGUUUUGGUCUAAAGUUUGUGAAAAACUGUUUUAAAAAAAGUUGAGUGACUGAGCUAAUAUUUUAACUGAUUGUAUUUUAUGUUAGGAUUUUUCCCCUCAGUUUGUGGGUUGUGAUCUGCCCUGUGAACAUAAAUAUUAUAACAAGGCAGGGGUUCCUUUGUUUUUUUUUUAAUUAAAAAAAAUUAUUUUAUUGUUAUUUCCCCAAUACAUUUUUUUUCUACUGUACAGCAUAGUGACCCAGUUACACAUACAUGUAUACAUUCUUUUUCCUCACAUUAUCAUGCUUCAUCAUAAGUGACUAGACACAGUUCUCCUUUGUAAUAUUUUAAAAUAAAUGAAGUCUCUUCACUCAAGUCCCCCUGUAUUUAAUCUAACUCUGUGGUUUCCCAGUGGGGAACCCAUGAAGGUAAUUGUAAGCUCCUUGCAAUCAUGUUGUAUAUUGAUAAGAACGUGCAAUUAUUCUGUUUCACACUCAUGGAGUAGAUGUCAUAUUCUGAUACCGAUAAGGAAAAAAUGUGAACCAGCUCUGCUACUCCCCAUCCUCUUUAUACAUUAAGGAUUAUUUCAUCCUGCAAAAUGCAGUCAGAAGUCCAGUCUCCCUGGACUGGAUUAGGAUAGAAACGAAGUCAGAAAGCUGUGUAUUGGGAUCUGGUCUUUGUCUUCCCUGGAAUAGCUGAGUAAAUGGCCAAAGGGGCACAGAGCCCAGAGGCAGGGCUCUCAGGGUCCUGGAAGCCUGGCCUGGGUCAGGGCCUCGCCAGGGUAGCAACCCAGGUGGAAGGCAUUUAGAGUCAGUGAGGCUUGAGAUAGGCUUAGAAUUGGGUGGGAGGCUAGAGUCUGUGGUCAGACAGGGCAUUUGUGGAUCUGGAAGCUGCUGGUUCUGGCCCUUGGCCCAAUUAGACACGUGGAUGCUCUUGGUGGUGAAAGUGGAUGGUCCAGGUUGGUACUUGUCCUCUGAGCCCCAGGGCUGUCCGUGGGGCCCUAUCUUCCCCAAGGCUAUUCUCUUUGUUAAGAGACCUUUUGUCCUCCACACUGGGGAAGGGAUUAAAGAGGCCCCCCCCAUCCAUCUCCAUCGGGUCAGAUGGAAGGACCAGGCAGGCCCACACUGGGAUGCUUGCUCCUCUGUGGGCUGGCUGGCGAUGCAGGCCCACCCAUCAGCCUCAUGAUUGGUUAUGCCUUCUACUCACAGACGUGAACUCUGAGGUCGCUUAUAUCAUAUGGAUUAAAGAGCAUCUGUGGUUUAUGUGUUGGAGAGAAUUGCAUCAGUUUCUCUGCUUGGAUUGGGAAGAGCUGGUUCAAUACUGUUCUCUAGGGACUUAGGAUUCUCUAACCUCUUUGCUUUUCUCUGCUCCUAAAGCAAAUAGCGAGACACAAAAACAUGGGAUAUGGAUGAGAUGCAAUGUAGAUAACAUUAAAUAAUUUAGAAUUAAUUUAAUGCAAUGUAGCCAUUAGAUAAUUUAGAAUUUUAUGAUGCUUUUUAGGACAGCUACUGAGGAAAUAUGAUUGAAGGAUUUUGUGGUACAGGACUUGUGAUACAGUAUUUCAGAACCUUUGCAGUAUUCUGAGUCCAGAUUUCUGAAUAUUUUUAGUCUCUAUUUUCCAUUUCAUCUUAGUGCUCUUUUUUCAAGCUGAUUCUCUUUUGCAACCCCUGGUCCCCCCGUAAUGCCCUGAUAGCAGGCAGCUUGCGUGGCCAGGGCUGGAGCACCAUCCUGGGGCGCGUCCAUGCUUUCUGGGUGUUGGUGGUAGCCUAGGACCUUCCACAUGUGUUGAAGAUGCCUUUCUUACCAAUGGGCUGACCCUUCCAAAGGUUGUUCACAUCUUUAAUAUACAAAGCCAAGCAUUAGACACAUUAGGUAGUACCCCAAGUGAAGGGUUAUUCUCUACUUUAGAAUUCUUUAAUUUUUUAAAAGAGCUCCACCUAACCGCCGUAGCAAAAUAAUAGUUACUGACAGUUAGCUAGCACUCAGCACUUGCUCUGUGCUGGCCGUAAUCCCCACCUGUAAUUUAAUUUUUCACCUUUCUCUCCAUGUAACAAAUGAGGAAAAUAAUGGACAGAGAGAUUUAGUACAUCACUAAGGGAGCCUGAGCUCAUGCAACUAGUGGCCAGAGUAGAUAAGAGGGGAAUACCUUGCUGUUCCCUUUCAUAAUAUAUUUUUGUAGGAGGGAAUUCUAGUCAUUCAGAAAAUUAGCACUUACCAGGGGUUACAGUCCUCAUGAAGCUUAUGUUCUAGUAGGGAGAGAGACAGGCAGCAGGAACACUGAAGUGUAUAAGGUGUGAGUUGGCAGGCAGUGCCCUGAAGAAAAUGAAGAGGGAAGGGAUGUGUCAGGCAGGCCCUGGUGGGGGCAGAGCCUCAGGAAGGCCUCUCUGAUAAGGUUAUGUUUGAGCAGAGACUACAAGGAUGUGAGGGAGUGAGCAAUGUUGAAUAAUUUUUUGAAGAGACGGUAAGUGCAAAAGUCCUGAGGCAGAAACAUCCUUUGAUGCGGAAAACGGCUCACAGUGACAGGAGGGCAGUAAGUGUGGGGCUGAUAGGAGAUGAAGUAACGGGGAGCCAAUGGAAGGCGUCUGCAUGCUAAAUCAGAGACUUCCCAGGUAGUUCCUGUUCAAAUAUGCCUAAAAUCAGAUGUCAGUUCCUCUCUUACUUCCAAGAUAAUCUCUAACUCUGUACUAGCCCAAAAGGGCUGAUGUUAGUCAAGUAUUGUGUUGGGGCUAAUGAUUCCAGUAUGGUUUGAGACUCCUGGCCACCAUGAAGGAUUCUUCAUUCACUGGGGGCUAGAGCUGGGCAGCUGAGCUGCUGGCCUGGGUCAGGAGGUUGUUCAUGGCCACCUGCACCCUGAGCACUUUUUGUCUCCACAGAUGGGGAGCUGGGAGAGUCUUCCACUGAGGAGGCGUCUGCUCAGGGUAAGAGCCAAGCAGGGACCCUGCCCUUUCAUUUUCUUGGAUUCACCCCGUUCACCCUGUGCUGUGAGAGGAGGGUGAUGAGAGCUGUUGCUUCUGUGUCAGAAGAUCAGCUAAAGAUUUACGUGCCCCAGUGGGGUGCAUGGAAACUGAAGCGUCACAUUCAAGCUUCCUUUCAUGCCUUAGACCCACGGCACAACUCAAAAAUGUGGUAACGUGUCACGUGUCCCUGAAUUCACUCAUGGAGAUGUUCAGUAUAAGUCUAAAGUUCCUGUUGGUUGGGAAGCUGGAGGUGGGGAUUUAAGUGAUUUACCCUGUAACUGACUUGUGCCAACACCUGAGUAAUAACACUGUCUUUUACAGUUGAAGAAUGGGAGGAUAAAGAAUUGCCCACAGAUUGUUUGAGUUCAGGUACGAACUUGUGGUUUUCAAAAUGUUCUCAUUGCUGAGGGGCCUAUACUUUUGAAUUUUGUAAUCUGGUUAUAUCAGAUGUAUUUAUUAAACAUUUUUAUCUGGGAGUUCCUGUUGUGGCUCAGUGGGUUAAGAACCAAACAUUGUCUCUGUGAGGAUGUGGGUUCAAUCCCUGGCCUUACUCAUUGGGUCAAGGAUCUGGCAUUGCCAUAAGCUGCGGCAUAGGUCGCAGAUGUGACUCGGAUCCAGAUCCGGUGUUGUUGUGGCUUAGGCUGGCAGCUCCCAUUCCACCCCUACCCUGGGAACUUCCAUGUGCCACAGGUGUGGCU